UCAUUCACAAUGGGGGAAACCCUGAUGGUGCGACGCCGCGUGGGGGAAUUAAGGUCUUCGGAUUGUAAACCUCUGUCCUUGGUGACGAUAAUGACGGUAGCCAAGAAGGAAGCCACGGCUAACUACGUGCCAGCAGCCGCGGUAAUACGUAGGUGGCAAGCGUUGUCCGGAAUUACUGGGUGUAAAGGGAGCGUAGGCGGGAGAGCAAGUCAGAUGUGAAAUCCACAGGCUUAACCUGUGGCGUGCAUUUGAAACUGUUUUUCUUGAGUGAAGUAGAGGCAGGCGGAAUUCCGAGUGUAGCGGUGAAAUGCGUAGAUAUUCGGAGGAACACCAGUGGCGAAGGCGGCCUGCUGGGCUUUUACUGACGCUGAGGCUCGAAAGCAUGGGUAGCAA
rnacentral:rRNA from 1 species